GGGACAGUGCACCCAGACCACUUCACUAUCCCUUUAGUGUAGUUUUUGUGUAUGUGACUUGUAUGUUGUGUAAAUUAGUGUAUGUGUGAUAUGUGUCUAAGUUUUCAUGUCAUUUAGUGAGUGUGUGUUAUUUAAUAUAUGUGUAAGUGACUGUGAUAGCUUUAGUGUUAAUUAGUGUGAAUGUGCAUUUAUAAAAUUAGUGGGAGAGUAUGUUUGUGUUAGUGUGGCAAGUUAGAG